rnacentral:rRNA from 1 species
CCUACGGGAGGCUGCAGUGAGGAAUAUUGGUCAAUGGACGAGAGUCUGAACCAGCCAAGUAGCGUGAAGGAUGACUGCCCUAUGGGUUGUAAACUUCUUUUAUAUGGGAAUAAAAUGUUCCACGUGUGGGAUUUUGUCUGUACCAUAUGAAUAAGGAUCGGCUAACUCCGUGCCAGCACCCGCGGUAAUACGGAGGAUCCGAGCGUUAUCCGGGUUUUUUGGGGUUAAAGGGAGCGUAGGUGGAUUGUUAAUGGAGUUGUGAAAGUUUGCGGCUCAACCGUAAAAUUGCAGUUGAAACUGGCAGUCUUGAGUACAGUAGAGGUGGGCGGAAUUCGUGGUGUAGCGGGGAAAUGCUUAGAUAUCACGAAGAACUCCGAUUGCGAAGGCAGCUCACUGGACUGCAACUGACACUGAGGCUCGAAAGUGUGGGUAUCAAACAGGAUUAGAUACCCGUGUAGUC